UAACUUCGGGAUAAGGAGGACCCCAGUAGCGUGACGAGACUUGCUCUCCGAGCGUGAAGGGGUGGCACAAAAUUGAGGGAAGCGACUGUUUACCAAAAACACAGCAGCGUGCUAAGCCGUAAGGCGCUGUAUACGCUGUGACUCCUGCCCGGUGCUGGAAGGUUACGGGGAUGGGUUAGUCCUUCGGGACGAAGCUCUGAACCUAAGCCCCAGUAAACGGCGGCCGUAACAAUAACGGUCCUAAGGUAGCGAAAUUCCUUGUCGGGUAAGUUCCGACCUGCACGAAUGGAGUAACGACUUCCCUACUGUCUCAACCAUAGACCCAGCGAAAUUGAAGUACGAGUAAAGAUGCUCGCUAGCUGCAGAAGGACGGAAAGACCCCGUGGACCUUUACUAUAACUUGAUGUUGUGUUUUGUCAUAUGUUGUGUAGGAUAGGCGGGAGACAAGGAAGCAUGGACGCUAGUCUGUGUGGAGUCAUCGUUGAAAUACCACCCUGCAUAUGGUGAGGCUCUAACCUAGACCCGUUAUCCGGGUUGGGGACAGCGUCAGGCGGGUAGUUUAACUGGGGCGGUUGCCUCCUAAAGAGUAACGGAGGCGCCCAAAGGUUCCCUCAGCCCGGUUGGCAAUCAGGCGUCGAGUGCAAUGGCAAAAGGGAGCUUGACUGCGAGACCUACAAGUCGGGCAGGAGCGAAAGCUGGGCAUAGUGAUCCGGCGGUUGCGUGUGGAAGCGCCGUCGCUCAACGGAUAAAAGGUACCCCGGGGAUAACAGGCUAAUCUUGCCCAAGCGUCCAUAGCGACGGCAAGGUUUGGCACCUCGAUGUCGGCUCAUCGCAUCCUGGGGCUGAAGCAGGUCCCAAGGGUUGGGCUGUUCGCCCAUUAAAGCGGUACGCGAGCUGGGUUCAGAACGUCGUGAGACAGUUCGGUCCCUAUCCUCUGUAGCCGUAGGUGAAUUGAGGAAAGCUGUCCCUAGUACGAGAGGACCGGGACGGACGCAGCUCUCGUGUGCCAGUUGUCCUGCCAAGGGCAUGGCUGGUUAGCGACCUGCGGAAAGGAUAACCGCUGAAAGCAUCUAAGCGGGAAGCCUCUUCCGAGAUGAAUUCACCCACAGGGUUAACCUGGUAAGGCCCGUGGUAGACCACCACGUUGAUAGGCCGGAAGUGUAAGCGUGGCAACACGUUCAGCUGACCGGUACUAAUCGGCCGAGGGCUUGAAUG
rnacentral:rRNA from 1 species